CAGUCGCCGCGGUAACACAGAGGGUGCAAGCGUUAAUUGGAAUUACUGGGCGUAAAGCGCACGCAGGCGGUCUGGCAAGUCAGAUGUGAAAUCCCCGGGCUUAACCUGGGAACUGCAUUUGAAACUGUCAGGCUGGAGUCUUGUAGAGGGGGGUAGAAUUCCAGGUGUAGCGGUGAAAUGCGUAGAGAUCUGGAGGAAUACCGGUGGCGAAGGCGGCCCCCUGGACAAAGACUGACGCUCAGGUGCGAAAGCGUGGUGAGCAAACAGGAUUAGAUACCCGGGUGUCCCUGUCUCUUAUACA
rnacentral:rRNA from 1 species